rnacentral:rRNA from 1 species
UACGAAGGGGGCUAGCGUUGUUCGGAAUCACUGGGCGUAAAGGGCGCUUAGGCGGCUUUAUAAGUCGGGGGUGAAAGCCUGUGGCUCAACCACAGAAUUGCCUUCGAUACUGUAGAGCUUGAGACCGGAAGAAGUAAGUGGAACUGCGAGUGUAGAGGUGAAAUUCGUAGAUAUUCGCAAGAACACCAGUGGCGAAGGCGGCUUACUGGUCCGGUUCUGACGCUGAGGCGCGAAAGCGUGGGGAGCAAACAGG